GAUGAACGCUGGCGGCGUGCCUAAUACAUGCAAGUCGAGCGAACAGACGAGGAGCUUGCUCCUCUGACGUUAGCGGCGGACGGGUGAGUAACACGUGGAUAACCUACCUAUAAGACUGGGAUAACUUCGGGAAACCGGAGCUAAUACCGGAUAAUAUAUUGAACCGCAUGGUUCAAUAGUGAAAGACGGUUUUGCUGUCACUUAUAGAUGGAUCCGCGCCGGAUUAGCUAGUUGGUAAGGUAACGGCUUACCAAGGCAACGAUGCGUAGCCGACCUGAGAGGGUGAUCGGCCACACUGGAACUGAGACACGGUCCAGACUCCUACGGGAGGCAGCAGUAGGGAAUCUUGCGCAAUGGGCGAAAGCCUGACGGAGCAACGCCGCGUGAGUGAUGAAGGUCUUCGGAUCGUAAAACUCUGUUAUUAGGGAAGAACAAAUGUGUAAGUAACUAUGCACGUCUUGACGGUACCUAAUCAGAAAGCCACGGCUAACUACGUG
rnacentral:rRNA from 1 species